UAGGGAAUCUUCGGCAAUGGACGAAAGUCUGACCGAGCAACGCCGCGUGAGUGAAGAAGGUUUUCGGAUCGUAAAACUCUGUUGUUAGAGAAGAACAAGGACGUUAGUAACUGAACGUCCCCUGACGGUAUCUAACCAGAAAGCCACGGCUAACUACGUGCCAGCAGCCGCGGUAAUACGUAGGUGGCAAGCGUUGUCCGGCUUUAUUGGGCGUAAAGCGAGCGCAGGCGGUUUCUUAAGUCUGAUGUGAAAGCCCCCGGCUCAACCGGGGAGGGUCAUUGGAAGCUGGGAGACUUGAGUGCAGAAGAGGAGAGUGGAAUUCCAUGUGUAGCGGUGAAAUGCGUAGAUAUAUGGAGGAACACCAGUGGCGAAGGCGGCUCUCUGGUCUGUAACUGACGCUGAGGCUCGAAAGCGUGGGGAGCAAACAGG
rnacentral:rRNA from 1 species